rnacentral:lncRNA from 1 species
AAUGCACUUCAUUAGAGUCUCUCCGCCGGUACUCUUGGGAGAUGUAGUCCAGAAUAGCGCAAGCUUACAGGUGGCUGAGAAAGUAAGGAGGAUUGUGCUAGAUACUCAAGGAGUGGAUUCAAAGCGCUCUUUUCCGUUUGAACCAGAGCAAAUAUCAAGGGACAAAUAUUACAUGGUUAAAACUUGCAGAGGUUGCUAAGGAUUUCUUUGCAAUUAUUUUGAGAAUUUGAAUUGGACGUGACGUGAGCACUGAAGAGUAUGCAACAGCUACAUUAAAUUUUUAAAUACUUUUCGAAUUUAGUUUUAAAAAACACGUUAAAAAAAAGCUUGGGUAAAGCAAUACCUGUGGUUUACAGAGGCUGUAGUACAAGAAAAUGCUGCUCGUUUUUUUCCUCCAAUAAAACAAAGGAAAGAAAUUGCCCCCAGUGAAGAUUAGUUCAACUCCUGUGUUCAUUAUUGCUUCCAGAUCUCCUAGCCAUCCGUGUGGGAGGACAUACAACCUAGGAUGUAACUUUCCUAUUGCUGUGAAGAGACAUCAUGACCAAGGCAACUUAUAGAAGAAAGCAUUGAAUUGGAGACUUUCUUUCUUUCUUUCUUUCUUUCUUUCUUUCUUUCUUUCUUUCUUUCUUUCUUUCUUUCUUUCUGAUUUUUCGAGACAGGGUUUCUCUGUGGCUUUGGAGGCUGUCCUAGAACUGGCUCUUGUAGACCAAGCUGGUCUUGAACUCACAGAGAUCUCCCUGCCUCUGCCUCCCAAGUGCUGAGAUCAAAGGCAUGCACCACUGAUGCCCGGCUGAAUUGGAAACUUUCUUACAGUUUCAGAGGUGCCACCAACUGAAGACCAGUCAUUUAAAUAUGUGAGCCUGUGGAGCCCAUUCUCUUUCAAACCAGCAUACAGGGUAUCUUAACAAGAAGGAAUUGGGAGAAUCCUACCAUAGAGUUUGGGGCUUUGCUAUCCUGUGGUAAAACCAUAUCCUGAUGCUGGGAAUUCAGCAGUGACUCAAAUAGAUAAAGCCCACGGGGUUGAUAUGCAAAUGAGGGAGACAUCAAGAAUAAGGGAAAUAAGUAAAUUAGAACGUCUUAGAAGGUGGAAAGAUGUCGAGGUGAUGAAGAAAUAAGGCAUGAAGAUAUAAGAGAGUGAGAUGCUUCCCACGUGUCGAGAGUGAGUCGUGCAUUGGCAAGAAUUUGUCUGCUACAUUCUUCAAUUAUCAAGGCAUCCCAUGGUUGUAGAAAAUGAAGGAGAUGCAUUCUGAGAUCAUCAAGGCACCCCAUGGUUGCAGAAGUUAUGGGAGAAUAACAAGAUAUAGAACUCUCAACUGCUUCUCCAGUACCAUGUCUUCUUCCUCUAUGCUGUCAUGCUUCCAGCCAUGGUGACAAUGGACUAAACCUCUGAAUGAUUGAUUUCUACAACUUUAAGAGUAAUAUAUGUCCCGUGGUAUACAUCUAUUGUCAACUCACACAAGGCAUUGGCUCAUCCCCAGCAUCCUCAUCCCCAGUUCCAAAGUGAUAUGAAUUGCUUAAUGUUGCAAAACAUCUCUUUGACAUUCCACAGCUAUUGUGAAUGUAAUGAAAGUUGAAAAACUCUUCACAGUUGUUCAGGGUAUCAAAUGACUUAAAAAACUUGUUACUGCUGAGAAAUAAGUUUAUUUUGAGAGAACCUAUUACAUUUUGGUUCUCUAAUAAAGUCAAAUUAAUUAAUGGUAUGUCAUAGAAUCUGUGUCUAUUAAUAUUGAAGUUAGGGAAGCCCAAAGCCUUUCAGAACAUCAGAGCAUGGAUGAUUUCUGUUAGUAGGACUUUGGAAAGAAAUGGACAGACUCAUUUCAAACUCAGGUG